UCCACGGUAGCCUAGUGGUUAUGGUCACGAACUCUUGGUCGCAGGUUCGAAUCCUGUGCUAGUGAAG